AAUGGCAAUGACAAUGGGAAGCAAGGUUGUAAGGCGGAGCGAAUCCGGAAAGAUUGCCUCAGUUCGGAUUGUUCUCUGCAACUCGGGAACAUGAAG
rnacentral:ncRNA from 1 species